CUUGUGGCAGCCAAGCGUUCAUAGCGACGUUGCUUUUUGAUUCUUCGAUGUCGGCUCUUCCUAUCAUUGUGAAGCAGAAUUCACCAAGCGUCGGAUUGUUCACCCGCUAAUGGGAACGUGAGCUGGGUUUAGACCCGUCGUGACACAGGUUAGUUUUACCCUACUGAUGAAAUGAUGUCGCUACAGUAAUCAAGCUCAGUAUGAGAGGAACCGUUGGGCCAGAUCACUGGUUCAUGAGAUUUCCUGACAAGGAAGUGUCGCGAUGCUACCAUCUGUUUGAUUAUGACUGAACGCCUCUAAGUCAAAAUCAAUGCUGGAACGCACGUCCGCCAGUCACCUAUGGAAACCAUAAUCCCACUCCCAACUGAGAUCCUUGUCCAGGCGAAAUGCUGAAGACGGCUUCUCAUUGUACCAAAUAGUGACUGGGACAAAUCUUUUGCAGACCACUUACAUGGAACGAGGGAUUGUACGUACGAGAAUAAGCUUGUCUUACGAUCUACUGAGAUCCAGCCUCCUUCCUUCGAUUU